CUCAGCUUUUCAUAAGAUGGUGUGAGUAUCUGUAAGGGUGAAGGUGCCUAUCAUCAGCAGUCCUUUAAGGAAAGUCUACUCUACAAAGAGAGAUUAGAACCGACAGCGAGGUGACUCUGAAAGCAAAGGAUCUGAACCAUCAGCUCUCAAGUCAUUGGACUAAGCUCAACUUUUGUCAGAACAAACACUCACAAUGGGAAGAGGUGAAAGUGAAGUGUGGGAGGAAAACCCUGACGAUGUUAAGCAAACUCAACCCAAAAAACACACACCCACAAAGAGUAAAAGCACAGAGAAAUCGGGGAGUAGCUGUCCCGCGUGCUGCUUGAAGACAAGGAACUGCCUGAUGAGCCCAGAGUGUGGCAGGGCACUUCAGAUCUCCAGUGUUGUUGCUAUGUGUGGAAUGUGUCUCCGCAUGUUUAUUAGAUGAACCUUGGACGACACGACCAACCUGGAAUAUAUUAUUAUUAUUAAAUCUCCUCCAGCACUUUGCAUGAAAAUCAUGCCAUUACUCAAAGAAGAUAAAAAUGAAGCAACAUAUGAGAAAACAUGUAAAUAAGACCAACACUAAUUAUUAGUAGUCAAUCAGUGGAAACACUGAGGUAAAGUGAAUGUUACCUUAUUAUAAAGUUAAACUUUUUUCUAAAAGGUUUAACACUGAAGCCUCUUGUAAUAAAAUCAUGUUUGCUUAAUCAGAAUGCUACAGUAUUUAGUCAAAGCAGUUGUUGUAUAUUUAUUUUUGAAAAAAUUUCAUUAAUGUAAAAAAUAAUUAUAGUAAAUAAACUUGCACAUCUAAGUAGUAUCUUAUCUAGGUUUCUGCUGAUGAAAAAUGUUAACUAAAGCUUUUAGUAACAUCCCUGUAAUGACAGCACAAGUGUGUCACCUGUACCAGUGCUAAUAAUAAAAGCAUUUAAUUAUUUAAAUACUUUA